rnacentral:lncRNA from 1 species
GGUUGUAUCCCAUAUUUAGGCCUACGCAUAGGCUGGCAAAGCUGCCCUGAGCUCCCAUUCAGUAGAGAAACCGGCUUGGUAAAAAUUCCUCUUCAAAACACAAAUAAAUCAUGGCCACUCCCACUCAAACCCAGGAUGAAGAAUGAUUUUUCUUGGGUGAAAAAUAAUACAAGCCCAAACCACAAUGAGAUAACACCUUAUACCCAUUAGGAUGUCUACUGACAAAGAAAAUAGCAAGCGUUGGCAAGGAUGUGGAAAAAUGGGAACCCUAGUGCACGGUUGUUUGGAAUGUAAAAUAGUGCAGCUGCUACAGCAAGCAGUGUGGAAGUUCCUCAAGAGACUGAACAUGGAAUUGAGGUAGGAGACCAGCAGGACUUGUUUCCAGGACCCGGUCAGAGGAAGUGAAGAAACCAGCCAAAACCAGCAGAUGGCAACCAAAGGAAUCCCCAGCUGGCCCCAUUGCUCAUUAGCAUAACACAUCUCACCAGCCCAUGACUCCAUGACAGUUCACAAAUGCAAUGGCAACGUCCCAGAAGUUACCCCCGCUUCUUAGAAAGUUCUAAGUAAACUGCCCCUCAAUUUGCAUUAACUCACCCCUUAAUUUGCAUGUAAUUGAAAGUGGGUUUGAAUGAGUGUAAAUACAGUUGCCAAUACCCCACACAUUGCACUCUGGAUGCACUGCCUAUGAGUCAGCCCUGCUCUGCAAAGAGCAGUACCAUUUGAUUAAAGAUUGCUGACUAACGUCACUGGCUCAUCCUUGAAUUCUUUCCUGGGCAUAGCCCCAAUUUGGGGGCUCGCCUGUCCUGCAUCAGAAUUAUCAUAUGACCCAGCAAUUCCACUUCUGAGUAUAGAUCCAUGAGAACUGAAAGCAAGGAUCUCAAGAGCUAUUUGUACACGUGUGUUCAUAGCAGCUUACUCACAAUAGCCAAAUGGUGGAAACAAACCAAGUGUCCGCUGACAGCUGAAUGGAUAAACAAGAUGCCAAAAGGGAAAUCAUGAAGGGAAGGAUAAAGCUUUUUACUCCCAAGUUAAAAUCACACUACAGAAAUCCAUCCUUCAGACUUUUAUGAUCAGUUGCUAAAAAGUCCAAGACAUUUGAGCCUACUCCAAAGUGCAUUUCUUGCAGGAUAUUUUGAGGGAAUUCAUUUUGUAAUGAUGCGGUGAACACAGAGCCCAGCCCGGUCUGUCUCUGAAUAUUGUACAUAGCACAGCAACACACAAAUAGAAAAUUAGCGCGAGAGGCUGAGGCAGAAGAAUCACUUGAACCUGGGAGGCGGAGGUGGCAGUGAGCCGAGAUAGCCCCACUGCACUCCAGCCUGGGCAGCAGAGUGAGACUCUGCCUCAAAAACAAACAAAAAUAGAAUAUGGGGCUAAGCAUGGUGGCUCAUGCCUAUAAUCCCAGCACUUUGGGAGGCUAAAGUGAGAGGAUUGCUUGAGGCCAGGAUUUCAAGACCAACCUGGGCAAGAUAGGGAGACUCCAUCUCCACAAAAAGAAUUAAAACAAUUAUCCAGGCAUGGCACACGAGCUCUCUAUUUCAUAAGGCGCUCUAGCACGGAACAAGCUCAGUGUUUGGAAGGUCUGUUUUUAUAUAACAAGGUGAGUAAGAUAACCCUGGUCUCUUAUCUUUAAGACAGACUUUGAGGGGUUUUCCAAGGAGUAAGCAGUGGCCAACAGCGCUGAGUCGUCCCUUUGUCUGGCUGACUUCUCUCGUUAUCAGUUGCAAACAUCUCAUGGAGUUAAGGCAUUAAAAAGACUGAGAAAUAAUCUACAUAUCCAGUGUGUUUGGAAAACAUAUACUGUUGUAGUAGGUGAGAGGAGAGAAGGAGCCCAGGGCCAGCAGAGUCGUAGCCAUUUUGCCAGGAAGUAGCUUUAAGGGUUUCUGGACUGUUAGGCGAGUAGCUGGCCUGAAACCAGAUCUCAGCGUGCAGGGGCUGCUUCCGAAUGGAGUCUUUGCUGGUUGCUAUGUGUACACACAUGCCAUGGUUCAAGGAGAUACCCACUCCCUCCUGGCUCACUGUCCACCAACUGUGCUCACGCUUGGGAUCCCAAGGUUCCAGCUCUUUAGCUCACACUCCUGCAAAGCCACAGUUAUGACACACACUUCAUGUGCCAGCCCCACUUACAGGCCAUGCCCCUAUUAUCAUGCAAAUAAAAAUACAGGAUAUGCAGCAAAUUUCAAAGACUCCA